rnacentral:rRNA from 1 species
AGGACGAACGCUGGCGGCGUGCUUAACACAUGCAAGUCGAACGGUGAAGCCCUUCGGGGUGGAUCAGUGGCGAACGGGUGAGUAACACGUGAGCAAUCUGCCCUUGACUCUGGGAUAACUUCGGGAAACCGGAGCUAAUACCGGAUAUGAUGCAUGGCCGCAUGGUCUGUGUGUGGAAAGAUUUAUCGGUCAAGGAUGAGCUCGCGGCCUAUCAGCUUGUGGUGGGUAAUGGCCUACCAAGGCGACGACGGGUAGCCGGCCUGAGACGGGCGACCGGCCAACGCGUGGACUGGAGACACGGCCAGACUCCACGGGAGGCAGCAGUGGGAAUAUUGCGCAAGUGGGACGAAAGCCUGACGCAGCGACGCGCGUGAGGAUGGAAGGCCUUCGGUACUAAACCGUCUUCAGCGAGGGAAGAGACGAAAGUGACGGUACC